rnacentral:rRNA from 1 species
GCAUGGGUGCAAGCCUGACCCAGCAAUGCCUGUGUGUGAAGAAGGUCUGCGGAUUGUAAAGCACUGUCAGCAGUGAGGAAAACUCCAUAGUGAAUAGCAAUGGAGAUUGACAUUACGCUGCAAAGGAAGCNCCGGCUAAUUCCGUGCCAGCAGCCGCGGUAAUACGGAAGGUGCAAGCAGUUAAUCGGAAUUACUGGGCGUAAAGCGCGCGUAGGCGGAUGUGUAAGCCGGAUGUGAAAUCCCCAAGCUUAACUUGGGAACUGCAUUCGAUACUGCACAACUAGAGUACAGCAGAGGAAAGUGGAAUUCCGGGUGUAGCGGUGAAAUGCGUAGAUAUCCGGAAGAACACCAGUGGCGAAGGCGACUUUCUAGGCUGAUACUGACGCUUGAGGUGCGAAAGCGUGGGGAGCAAACGAGGAUUAGAUACCCUGGUAGUCCACGCUGUAAACGAUGUCAACUAACUGUUUGAAAUUUUAAUUUUGAGUAGGAGCUACGCGUUAAGUUACCGCCGGGGAGACGGCGGC